rnacentral:tRNA from 1 species
UUCAGCUUGGUAUAGUGGUUUGAAUGUUAGAAUACAACUCUGGAGACCAGGGUUCAAGUCCCAGCUCAAG